GACGAACGCUGGCGGCGUGCCUAAUACAUGCAAGUAGAACGCUGAAGGAGGAGCUUGCUUCUCCGGAUGAGUUGCGAACGGGUGAGUAACGCGUAGGUAACCUGCCUGGUAGCGGGGGAUAACUAUUGGAAACGAUAGCUAAUACCGCAUAACAGCAGAUGUUGCAUGACAUUUGCUUAAAAGGUGCAAUUGUAUCACUACCAGAUGGACCUGCGUUGUAUUAGGUAGUUGGUGAGGUAACGGCUCACCAAGGCGACGAUACAUAGCCGACCUGGGAGGGGGGACCGCCACACUGGGACUGGGAACAGGGCCAGACUCCUACGGGAAGCAGCAGGAGGGAAUCUUCGGCAAAUGGCGGAAAGCUGGCCGGGCAACGCCGCGUGAGUGAAGAAGGGUUUCGGAUCGGAAAGCUCUGUUGUAAGAGAAGAACGAGUGUGAGAGUGGAAAGUUCACACUGUGACGGUAUCUUACCAGAAAGGGACGGCUAACUACGUG
rnacentral:rRNA from 1 species